rnacentral:rRNA from 1 species
GCGAACGCUGGCGGCGUGCCUAAUACAUGCAAGUUGAGCGCUGAAGGUUGGUACUUGUACCGACUGGAUGAGCAGCGAACGGGUGAGUAACGCGUGGGGAAUCUGCCUUUGAGCGGGGGACAACAUUUGGAAACGAAUGCUAAUACCGCAUAAAAACUUUAAACACAAGUUUUAAGUUUGAAAGAUGCAAUUGCAUCACUCAAAGAUGAUCCCGCGUUGUAUUAGCUAGUUGGUGAGGUAAAGGCUCACCAAGGCGAUGAUACAUAGCCGACCUGAGAGGGUGAUCGGCCACAUUGGGACUGAGACACGGCCCAAACUCCUACGGGAGGCAGCAGUAGGGAAUCUUCGGCAAUGGACGAAAGUCUGACCGAGCAACGCCGCGUGAGUGAAGAAGGUUUUCGGAUCGUAAAACUCUGUUGGUAGAGAAGAACGUUGGUGAGAGUGGAAAGCUCAUCAAGUGACGGUAACUACCCAGAAAGGGACGGCUAACUACGUG